UGGGAGAUACGCAAAUAGGUAAAGCGAUCUGACUUUGAAUCAGAUGAUUGAGGGUACCCUUCGGGAAGCAAGCUACGAUUCCUUCUCUCCCAGCCA
rnacentral:tRNA from 1 species